GGCUUUGAAGGCGGGGCAACAAAGCCUGUGGCCGAUGUGGCGCUCCUCGGCCCGCGCUUCAGUGGUUAUGACAGUGUUCGCUCUAAGGGGAGAAGGAAUGUGUGACCAUUUCCAACGGUUAACUUGCAUUCCCCAGAUAGUUUGGAUGAGUUACAACCUAAAUCUGCAAACUCAAUACAGCCAGACCCUGGGAAGUGACUCUCUCCAAGCCUCCUGUAACUUCACCAUAAUACCGGUUAAUGUGAUAAAAACACUGCAUGUAGCCAAUUUUUUUUUUUUUUGAGAUGGAGUUAUUGGCUCUUGUUGCCCAGGCUAGAGUGCAGCGGCGUGAUCUUGGCUCACUGCAACCUCCAUCUCGUGGGUUCAGGUAAUUCUCCUGCCUCAGCCUCCCGAGUGGCUGGGAUUACAGGCACACGCCACCAUGCCCAGCUAAUUUUUUUGUAUUUUUAGUAGAGUCGGGGUUUCACUAUAUGUUGGCCAGGCUGGUCUCGAACUCCUGACCUCAGGUGAUCCGCCUGCCUCAGCCUUCCAAAGUGCUGGGGUUACAGGUGUGAGCCACUGCACCCAGCCAAAUAUUUUCUUAUUUAUUUAUUUAUUUUAGAGACAGGAUGCCAUUAUGUUGCCUAGUUUGGAAUGCAGUGUCUAUUUAGAGGCGUGAUCAUGGCAUACUAU
rnacentral:lncRNA from 10 species